UACGGAGGAUGCGAGCGUUAUCCGGAUUUAUUGGGUUUAAAGGGUGCGCAGGCGGUCUGUUAAGUCAGCGGUCAAAGCCCGGGGCUCAACCCCGGCCCGCCGUCGGAACUGGGUGCCUUGAGUGGGCGAGAAGUAUGCGGAAUGCGUGGUGUAGCGGUGAAAUGCAUAGAUAUCACGCAGAACUCCGAUUGCGAAGGCAGCAUACCGGCGCUCAACUGACGCUCAUGCACGAAAGCGUGGGUAUCGAACAGG
rnacentral:rRNA from 1 species